rnacentral:rRNA from 2 species
CGGUGGCGGAGCGUCGUUUGCGACGCCCAACACACAAAACAAGCGGUGAGUGCUUUGGGGUGGGGUGACUGCGUACCUUUUGUAUAAUGGGUCAGCGACUUAUAUUCUGUAGCAAGGUUAACCGUAUAGGGGAGCCGAAGGGAAACCGAGUCUUAACUGGGCGUUAAGUUGCAGGGUAUAGACCCGAAACCCGGUGAUCUAGCCAUGGGCAGGUUGAAGGUUGGGUAACACUAACUGGAGGACCGAACCGACUAAUGUUGAAAAAUUAGCGGAUGACUUGUGGCUGGGGGUGAAAGGCCAAUCAAACCGGGAGAUAGCUGGUUCUCCCCGAAAGCUAUUUAGGUAGCGCCUCGUGAACUCAUCUUCGGGGGUAGAGCACUGUUUCGGCUAGGGGGUCAUCCCGACUUACCAACCCGAUGCAAACUGCGAAUACCGAAGAAUGUUAUCACGGGAGACACACGGCGGGUGCUAACGUCCGUCGUGAAGAGGGAAACAACCCAGACCGCCAGCUAAGGUCCCAAAGUCACAGUUAAGUGGGAAACGAUGUGGGAAGGCUCAGACAGCCAGGAUGUUGGCUUAGAAGCAGCCAUCAUUUAAAGAAAGCGUAAUAGCUCACUGGUCGAGUCGGCCUGCGCGGAAGAUGUAACGGGGCUAAACUGUGCACCGAAGCUGCGGCAGCGACGCUUAUGCGUUGUUGGGUAGGGGAGCGUUCUGUAAGCCUGCGAAGGUGUCCUGUGAGGGAUGCUGGAGGUAUCAGAAGUGCGAAUGCUGACAUAAGUAACGAUAAUGCGGGUGAAAAGCCCGCUCGCCGGAAGACCAAGGGUUCCUGUCCAACGUUAAUCGGGGCAGGGUGAGUCGACCCCUAAGGCGAGGCCGAAAGGCGUAGUCGAUGGGAAACGGGUUAAUAUUCCCGUACUUGGUGUUACUGCGAAGGGGGGACGGAGAAGGCUAUGUUGGCCGGGCGACGGUUGUCCCGGUUUAAGCGUGUAGGCUGGUUUUCCAGGCAAAUCCGGAAAAUCAAG